rnacentral:rRNA from 1 species
CUUCGGAAGAAGGUGUGCCUUUAGUAGGUGUAGUUGUACAAACGAAGCCCAAUGAGGCCGCAGAGAAUCGGUGGCUGCAACUGUUUAUUAAAAACACAGCACUCUGCAAAGACGAAAGUCGACGUAUAGGGUGUGACUCCUGCCCGGUGCUGGAAGAUUAAAUGAUGGGGUGCAAGCUCUUGACUGAAGUCCCAGUAAACGGCGGCCGUAACUAUAACGGUCCUAAGGUAGCGAAAUUCCUUGUCGGGUAAGUUCCGACCUGCACGAAUGGAGUAAUGAUGGCCACACUGUCUCCUCCAGAGACUCAGCGAAGUUGAAAUGUUUGUGAUGAUGCAA